ACGUAAGUGUGAGUGACUCCUCACUGCAGUCCAGGCAGCUGGGGGCUAUGAGGGGCUUCAGAAGUCCUCAUCCCCUGCCUGUAGGCCUGGCCAUACUGGACCCAUGAGAUCAGCCACCUGUCAGCUGGAACCUCGAGGUACUAUAGCCCUCCUCACUCAAGCCCUGGUCCCCUAACUCAGAGGUGAGGCGUUGGGCUGGAGGGGGCGAGCAGCCAGAUGAUUCCAGUGUACAACCAAUGAUGAGUAGCUGCUGGGCUAGAGGGGCCAGGGCCAUUUGAUACCAGGAUGUUGCACAGAAACCCCUGAAAAGCAAGUAGCAGCUAUCAGAAGGUUUGGUGACAAAGCUCCUCCUGUUGUAGCGCCUUCAGCAUGGACUCCACAUUCAACAGGCCCAGGAGCUGCUCCCUUUCGGAUGAGCUCCAAGGCCUUAAGAGAGCUUCUCUGGUUUCCGUGAAUCCCUCUGAACGAUGGUCCUGAGCAAACCUAUGACCAUCUGCUCCAAAUAACUCAGGGGAAGUCAAAGCUUUCCAUGUGGAAGGUGACUGAAACCACGUACACAGACUACUGCCACAUUCCUGACCUUAAGGAGCUUGGAAAUGAUUCCAAACACGAACAUAAGCCUUGCUACAUGAGUGACAUGUUGGGCCAUGACAGGAACUUGGAGUGUAACCCUGCACCCCUUGAGAAUGUGACAUCACACCUCAUCAAAUCCUCUGUGUGAGCUACUGAACUCAACCACGGAACUUCAAACUAAGUCAAAACCUAAGGGUUUGACAGACACUUUGAGACCUUGGGCUGUGGCAGUCAGCCCCUCUUCGACAGGGCCAUACCCUGCCAGUCUUUUAACUUGGACACCUCGCCCGACAACACCCUGCCGCCCUCUCACAUUGAGGGACCCUAUGUGCCUUUGUGAAGCUCCGUUGUGUUGGACGUCUCUCCCAAGAGCUGUUCUUAUAACAGAGACAUACCACACUUUAAUGAGCCUUUGCUUUCCAGAGAGGUCUGCUGCCAUCCUAAUGGAGCAAGUAGACUUAGUAACUUUGGAACUCACUCACUCUGUGACUAAUACACCCUGUCUACCCAGCACAUUCCCCAUGAGAUUUGUUCAUGUUCUCCCCUCCUUAAGCAUUGUGAACCUAAGAAAAAUGUCAUCUUUGUAGGGGAAUAAACCGUGUGAUGGGUGAAA